UGGUGCGCACCCAAAAGGCCAAAACGUGACCUGACUGAAUUCGUUUAUUUUUGGACGCGCACCCGACUCUGCGUCAAACAUGAGUCGGGUGCAGUCAAACCAAACCUGCCCUUUUUCGUCCACUUUUUGGGUGCUUUAAUUUUUACAUGAUGUUAGGACACGAGAAGUACACCUCCUCCUCCACUUCAAAAGCCAAGCGAAAGAGGGGAAUUUCCUGGGCCGAGAAGAGUAAUAGGUUAGCUCAACAGGUGGGAAGAGCAAGAGAGGCGGAAAGAGGAGCGAUCGGUGAGCUCUGCCAGCCGAGCAUGAGCCCUAGGUCGAGUCCCGAACUGCGUAAUCUUCCUCACAUGUAGGAAUCUCAACCGUUAACCAGGAAAAAAGCAAAACAGAGGAUAUAUUUCACCCCUCACUUUCUCUAAUCUCUCCCUCUCUCUGCGCUGCGUUCGGAUUUGGGCUCUUGAAUCGAUGCACAUGGGAAGAGACGGUGGUGGGGAGGCGAACUUGGGGAGAAAACAGAGGGAAGUAGGAUUUGGCCAUGGACGAAGGGGAAGAGAGGGGAGGGGAAAGAAGGGGAAACGGGCGUCGGUGGAGGAGGAGACGAAGGGAAAGACGGUGAAAGAUGGGAAACCUCUCUCUCGUACAUUAGAAGUUUAGAACCACCACCUCGUUGCCAUUAUCAAUACCAAAAUCACGAUUUUGGGUUCCAAUUUACUACCUCUGUUAUCAUAUCAUAAAGUUAAACAGGCAAACAUAGUUUCUGGUGGUGAUGAAGUCCUUAUGUGUUACUGCAAUGUCUUCCUAUGUAGGUCUUUAGUGUCAACAGCUCUAUAAACACUGAAAUUCGAUUCUUGAAGGAAAAAAAUGUUAGUUUAUCUGAAUUAUAUAUAAGAUUUUCUUUGUGGGAGUUCUUAACUUUGUUGGUCUUAUAACGCUUAUGUUUUUUGCAAGCCUUGUGCUUUUACAGUGAGAUUAAACAUAGAAAAAAUGCUUAAAUCUUGCUGUUUUUUUUUUUCUAUAUUCAUGUCCGGCUUGUAUAUCUUGUGGAGUUUUCAUGUCCGGCUUGUAUAUGAGUUUACUUAUGCUUACAACAAAAAUCCAGUUUUCUUUGAUUAAAUAGGUAGCACCAUAGCAGCACCGUUGAGCAUUGCUUUUUAUUGUUACAGUCAUGACUAACACUAACAACAUUUGCUUGAGAUUGCACUUUGGUGUCUAAUUUGCUUUUUUAAAUUGCUUAUAAGUUAUAGGUUUGCAUCACAGAGAUAAUACCUUUUGCUUAUAGGUUUUCAUCACAGAGAUAAUAUCUUUCUUAUCUAAUCUGACUUGUUUGAGGAGGCCUUUGCUUUUAAUGAUUUUAUCAAUGAUCAGUUUAAUAAUUUUGUGGUUUAUAUUAUUAUAUUUAAAAAACAAUAAAAUACUCUCACCGCACCGCCACACUUAAAUUUUUUGAGAUGUGCCGCACCCGCACCCGCACCAGCACCCUGCACUCAGGUGACAUAGGGUUUUAGUGAUUUGAGAACAAAAAGGGAAAGGAGCCAUCAUCCAAGGAGGUAAGCCUGCGAUUGAGGCAAGAGGGAUUCAUCUUGUGCAAGCCUCCAUUUUCAUGGAUGCAUGACUGGGUUUUAGGGGUUUCGUUGUGCUUCAAGGGUUUUAGUGAUUUGAGAACAAAGAGGGAAAGGAGGGGGGAAGCAAAGGACCUAGACAUUAGAUUGGCCGAUGGACUGCCCUCGGCUGAGCAGGUUGUGGACUUCUCCCUGCUAAACGAGGGUACUUUCAUCGCUGUUGCGGGAGCAAUCCUGCAAAUUAGUCUCUGUUAAACAGGUUGAAUAGUUCAGACAUCCAUAUUGCUGGUGCUGCAAGUGAGAUUGAUGCUUCAGGCUGCCUAGUGUCCAUCUACGGUCUGGUGAAACAGGUUGAGCACAUUGACUUCUGGACUGAACUCUGCCUGUUUGUUCAUUUUCAAGGUAUAUUCAGGAUCGCCAUGCUGGAUAUUGUUUAUAAUUGCUGCUUCAUGCAUUUAUUUGUCCUUGUAUGUAAAUUGCAACAAUAGACUUUCCACUGUCAAAGUGAUAGUUGCUUUAUACAUUUGAAACGUACUUAGAUUUUUUUUAUUUUGCUUCUCACCACCAUGUUCAUCCUCAUAUAUUUUUUCUUCUCUUCUUCUGUUAUUUCUUGCUUGCUUUUCAUUUUCAAGGUAUAUUCAGGAUCGCCGAGCUGGAUAUUGUUUAUAAUUGCUGCUUCGUGCAUUUAUUUGUCCUUGUAUGUAAAUUGCAACAAUAGACUUUCCACUGUCAAAGUGAUAGUUGCUUUAUACAUUUGAAACGUACUUAGAUUUUUGUUAUUUUGCUUCUUACCACCAUGUUCAUCCUCAUAUAUUUUUUCUUCUUUUCUUCUGUUAUUUCUUGCUUGCUUUUCAUUUUUAAGGUAUAUUCAGGAUCGCCAAGAUGGAUAUUGUUUAUAAUUGCUGCUUCAUGCAUUUAUUUGUCCUUGUAUGUAAAUUGCAACAAUAGACUUUCCACUGUCAAAGUGAUAGUUGCUUUAUACAUUUGAAACGUACUUAGGUUUUUUUUUUUUAUUUUGCUUCUUUCCACCAUGUUCAUCCUCAUAUAUUUUUUCUUCUUUUCUUCUGUUAUUUCUUGCUUGCUUUUCAUUUUCAAGGUAUAUUCAGGAUCGCCAAGCUGGAUAUUGUUUAUAAUUGCUGCUUCAUGCAUUUAUUUGUCCUUGUAUGUAAGUUGCAACAAUAGACUUUCCACUGUCAAAGCGAUAGUUGCUUUAUAAAUUUGAAACGUACUUAGAUUUUUUUUAUUUUGCUUCUUACCACCAUGUUCAUCCUCAUAUAUUUUUUCUUCUUUUCUUCUGUUAUUUCUUGCUUGCUUUUGCAAUAACUUGAGCCCAUUAAAUCCUUUCUUCUGUUAAACUUUAAGCACCAAGUUUGGGGCUUUUCAUUGUUCCAGUUAGCUAAAUUUUGUAUACUUGUUUUCUCCUGGUGCCUGGACUUGCUGUUAUCAUUGUUGGGACCAGGAAAGACUCUCAGAGCUACGUUAGCGUGAAGAAGCAAAGCUGGUUAUAAUGGAAGAUAUGUCAGCCCAAAGGAGCCCCUUUUUAGUGAACAACUAGCCUAUAAACAACUUAUCGUAAGCAUCCCCAUCAAAAUAAAAAAAGUAUGAAGAAAGCAAAUCUGGUUAUAAUGACCAGAAUACCCCGGUCACUAGAAAGGGGAGCACCCUAUAAGAAUAGAAAAAGGUAGUGAAAAAGUUAAAGUCCAAAAAAGAUUUUCCUUUCUGAAAAUCAUCCAAAAACACCUCAACUUCCCCCUUCUCUCUUUAUUUUUGAGUGCAUAUCUGUUGCACCCACCAACUCUCAUUCUCCCUGGAGAAAGGGGGUGAUCUCUUAAGAAAAACCAAAUGGCCCUCACUCCCAUUAACCAACAGGGAAAUCCUUCUUAGGAAGAAGAGGCAGCUAUUGAAUCAGCUCUGACUCAGCGAAAAGAAAAAGAUUCUUUUGCCUUGACACUAUGGACACUACAACCAUAUCUCUCUAAGUCCAAACAUCCUUAUUUUCAAUUCAUUUUCUUCAAUGAGAUUGUCCGAUUUUAAGGUAGAAAAGAUGGCUGUGAAAAGAAAAAAGAAUAGUAUACAGGUCAAAGAGUACGUGGGACAAAGAGGAGUUAAAAAAAAAAAAGUACUUUAACUUCAGUUCUUGCAUUGGCUGCAGGGUACCCGGAUAACCAUUAUGAUCGUUGGUGGCAUUCAAGUGGUACCAAAUGGCCCUCACUCCCAUUUACCAACAGGGAAAUUUGGCACAUUAUGGACACUACAACCAUAGCUCUCUAAGUCCAAACAUCCUUAUUUUCAAUUCAUUUUGUUCAAUGAGAUUGACCGAUUUUAAGGUAGAAAAGAUGGCUGUGAAAGGAAAAGAAAAUAGAUAUACAGGUCAAAGAGUACGUGGGACAAAGAGGAGAAAAAAAAGAUUACUUUAACUUCAGUUGUUGCUUUGGCUGCAGAUACCCGGAUAACUAUUAUGAUCGUUGGUGGCAUUCAAGUGGUACCAAAUGGCCCUCACUCCCAUUUACCAACAGGGAAAUUUGACACACUAUGGACACUGCAACCAUAGCUCUCUAAGUCCAAACGUCCGUAUUUUCAAUUCAUUUUCUUCAAUGAGAUUGGCCGAUUUCAAGGUAGAAAAGAUGGCUGUGAAAAGAAAAGAAAACAGAUAUACGGGUCAGAGUACGUGGGACAAAGAGGAGUAAAAAAAAAAAUAGUACUUUAACUUCAGUUCUUGCAUUGGGUGCAGGUACCCGGAUAACCAGUAUAAUCGUUGGUGGCAUUCAAGUGGUAAGAUCGAGGGCGUGGUUACUGUGGCGAGAGAUAGCAUGAGCUUCAUCCAAAACUUCACGGAUAUUCUUGUGAAGGCAUUGGCCCAUGCCAUAACACCAGCGUCGAGUAGGGCAACGACUCUGACAGGCUUCAGGAAUAUUUUGGGAGCAUGCAACCUAUUACUACAUUUUCUAUUUCAUGGAAGUGUUGGAGGCAGCUUAUCAAAACAAGAGCAGGUCAUUCGAUUUCCUGGUUGAUGAAAUCAAGCGGAACGAUGAUCCAAUCAUCCCUCCCUAUCGGUCAAAUGUGACCGACUGUAAUCUUCAUGGCUUACCUCCACUUCUUAAUUAGCUUUACAUGUUUAAUCAAAACCAUCUUCUUUGUGAUCUCUAAAAGCUGCUAGGUCCGCAUGGAUUUCAAAGUCUACACUCAAUAGAGUUCCAAUCGCAGGGUCCAGGUUUUGAAUGUGGAAUGUAAGCUGGAAUCUGUUUUGGGGAACGAUUAUAAAGUCAUUAACCGAACAACUUCUCGUACCUUUUGAUCUCCUCUGUUUGUUGAGGACUUUGGUUGUUGUACGCAAGUUCUUUUUGUUUUUUCCUUUCGCUAAUCCUGGAUAUGCUGUUGGUGCCCUAAUUAAUUAAGGGCUAGACAUGUAUCUUGUAAUAGGACAAUAUUAGUGGAUAUUAAUUACGGGCAAGUUCUUCGUA